rnacentral:siRNA from 1 species
UGUGGUACAUGUUGGUGUCAUGCC